CAGUAGCCACGGGAACACGUAGGGUGCAAGCGUUAAUCGGAAUUACUGGGCGUAAAGCGUGCGCAGGCGGUUAUAUAAGACAGAUGUGAAAUCCCCGGGCUCAACCUGGGAACUGCAUUUGUGACUGUAUAGCUAGAGUACGGCAGAGGGGGAUGGAAUUCCGCGUGUAGCAGUGAAAUGCGUAGAUAUGCGGAGGAACACCGAUGGCGAAGGCAAUCCCCUGGGCCUGUACUGACGCUCAUGCACGAAAGCGUGGGGAGCAAACAGGAUUAGAUACCCCUGUAGUCCCUGUCUCUUAUAC
rnacentral:rRNA from 1 species